UACGUAGGUGACAAGCGUUGUCCGGAUUUACUGGGCGUAAAGAGCGCGCAGGCGGUCGAUCAAGUCGAGUGUGAAAGCCCCCGGCUCAACUGGGGAGGGUCAUUCGAUACUGAUCGACUCGAAGGCAGGAGAGGGUGUGGAAUUCCGAGGUGUAGCGGUGAAAUGCGUAGAUAUCUGGAGGAACAUCAGUGGCGAAGGCGACACCUGGACUCAUACUGACACUGAGGUGCGAAAGCGUGGGGAGCAAACAGG
rnacentral:rRNA from 1 species